GGCCUCUUGCAACCCAUAAAUAAGAGGUCCAACCUGCCCGGUGACAAUAAGUUUAACGGCCGCGGUAUUUUAACCGUGCUAAGGUAGCGUAAUCACUUGUCUUUUAAAUGAAGACCCGUAUGAAAGGUGUCACGAGGGCCCCCCUGUCUCCUACUUCAAGUCUGUGAAAUUGAUCUACCCGUGCAGAAGCGGGUAUAAUAACAUAAGACGAGAAGACCCUGUGGAGCUUAAGACCAAUCAACCAAUCGUGCCUAACAGCCCACUCCCCUAACAGGUAAUAAAAGGCUAAACAAGCAUAACGACCUGUGAUUGAACUGUCUUCGGUUGGGGCGACCAUGGGGGAUAAAAAAGCCUCCAAGAGGAAACAGGGGACCAGUUCAACCGAUCCCUAAGAGCCAAGAGCCACCGCUCUAAGCAACAGAAAACUCUGACCAAUAAUGAUCCAGGCACUAGCCUGAUCAACGAACCAAGUUACCCCAGGGAUAACAGCGCAAUCCUUUCCCAGAGCCCAUAUCGCCGAAAGGGUUUACGACCUCGAUGUUGGAUCAGGACAUCCUGGUGGCGAAAAUUCUACCAAGGGUUCGUUUGUUCAACGAUUAAAGUCCU
rnacentral:rRNA from 1 species